AACGUAGGUCCCGAGCGUUAUCCGGAUUUACUGGGCGUAAAGCGUGUUCAGGCGGUCUAGCAAGUCGGGCAUGAAAUCUCUCGGCUCAACCGGGAGGGGUUGUCCGAUACUGCUGGGCUUGAGGAUUGCAGAGGAGACUGGAAUUCCCGGUGUAGCGGUGAAAUGUGUAGAGAUCGGGAGGAACACCGGUGGCGAAGGCGGAUCUCUGGGCAAUUCCUGACGCUGAGGCGCGAAAGCGUGGGGAGCAAACGGG
rnacentral:rRNA from 1 species